rnacentral:rRNA from 1 species
CCUACGGUGGGCUGCAGUGAGGAAUAUUGGUCAAUGGACGAGAGUCUGAACCAGCCAAGUAGCGUGAAUGAUGACUGCCCUCUGGGUUGUAAACUUCUUUUAUAUGGGAAUAAAACGUUCCACGUGUGGGUUUUUGUAUGUACCCUAUGAAUAAGGAUCGGCCAACUCCGUGCCAGCAGCCGCGGUAAUACGGAGGAUCCGAGCGUUACCCGGAUUUAUUGGGUUUAAAGGGAGAGUCGGUGGAUUGUUAAGUCAGUUGUGAAAGUUUGCGGCUAAACCGUAAAAUUGCAGUUGAAACUGGCAGUCUUGAGUACAGUAGAGGUGGGCGGAAUUCGAGGUGUAGCGGUGAAAGGCUUAGAUAUCACGAAGAACUCCGAUUGCGAAGGCAGUUCACUGGACUGCAACUGACACUGAGGCUCGAAAGUGUGGGGAUCAAACAGGAUUAGAUACCCGGGUAGUC